CGGAGGGGCUAGCGUUGUUCGGAAUUACUGGGCGUAAAGCGCACGUAGGCGGAUCAGUCAGUCAGGGGUGAAAUCCCGGGGCUCAACCCGGAACUGCCUUUGAUACUGCUGGUCUUGAGGUCGAGAGAGGUGAGUGGAAUUCCGAGUGUAGAGGUGAAAUUCGUAGAUAUUCGGAGGAACACCAGUGGCGAAGGCGGCUCACUGGCUCGAUACUGACGCUGAGGUGCGAAAGCGUGGGGGAGCAAACAGGAUU
rnacentral:rRNA from 1 species